rnacentral:rRNA from 1 species
UUGAAGAGGGAGAUCAGCCGGGGAGCAAGACCGCGCUUGAAGGGGCCCGUCCGAUUCUAGUUGGGGGUAAUGUCACCAAGAACGAUCGAGCCGGCCAGAGGGCGCGGCCACAGGGACUGACACGGCCCACUCCUACGAGGCAGCUGGGGAAUUUCGCAAUGCGCAAGCGACGACGCCGCCGCGUAGGAUGAACCUUCGGGGUAAACUCUUCGAUCGACGAAUGGUUCGGGUGUAGCCCGGGAGUGACGACCGAGAGGAAGCCCCCUAACUCCGCCAGCAGGCGGUAAUGGGGGGGGAGCGUUGUGGAAUUACGGCGUAAAGCUCGUAGGGCCAACUGUCAGACGAAAUCCCUGCUUAACCGGAACUGCCUGAUACUGGAUGGGCUUGAAAUCCCGGARAGGGAUGC